rnacentral:rRNA from 1 species
GUACGGGUUGUGGGAGCAAGAGCCCGGAGAUGGAUUCUGAGACAUGAAUCCAGGCCCUACGGGGCGCAGCAGGCGCGAAAACUUUACAAUGCGGGAAACCGUGAUAAGGGAACCCCGAGUGCCCGUAGAAUCGGGCUGUUGAUCUGUGUAAAAAGCAGGUAAAGAAAGGGCCGGGCAAGACCGGUGCCAGCCGCCGCGGUAAUACCGGCGGCUCGAGUGGUGGCCACUAUUACUGGGCUUAAAGCGUUCGUAGCUGGGUUGUUAAGUCUCUUGGGAAAUCCACCGGCUCAACCGAUGGGCGACCAGGGGAAACUGGCAUUCUAGGGACCGGGAGAGGUGAGAGGUACUCCAGGGGUAGGAGUGAAAUCCUGUAAUCCUUGGGGGACCACCGAUGGCGAAGGCAUCUCACCAGAACGGCUCCGACAGUGAGGAACGAAAGCUGGGGGAGCAAACCGGAUUAGAUACCCGGGUAGUCCCAGCUGUAAACGAUGCGCGUUAGGUGUAUCGGUGACCACGAGUUACCGAGGUGCCGAAGGGAAACCGUGAAACGCGCC